rnacentral:lncRNA from 10 species
GCCACACACACAGGAGUGAAGGCAGCAGAGCCAAGCAGGAACCCGUCCUGCCCCAGGCCUGAGCUUUCUUAAGAGGCUCAUGGGGCAGAAAGAUCCCAAACUGAGCUCUGACGAGAUGGAGAAGCAAAGGACACGGUUCCUGCCCCCAAGGAGCUCCCAGACAAGCAGGAGAGAAGGUGGCUCCCAGACAAGCAGGAGAGAAGGCAGCUCCCAGACAAGCAGGAGAGAAGGCCGUGGAAAUGAUCCUUCUGAUACCACAGCCUGCCGAUGUCAUCUAGAACUCUGGGGGAUUGGGGGAAAACGAACAGAACCAGAUUAAAAAAAAAACCCUGUCCUUAGCUAGGUGUGGUGGUGGGCACCUGUUAUCCCAGCUACUUGGGCGGCUGAGGCAGGAGAAUCGCUUGAACCCAGGAGGU